GAACGCUGGCGGCACGCUUAACACAUGCAAGUCGAACGAGAGAAGAGGAGCUUGCUUUUCUGAUCUAGUGGCGGACGGGUGAGUAACACGUGAGCAAUCUGCCUUUCAGAGGGGGAUACCGAUUGGAAACGAUCGUUAAUACCGCAUAAUAUAAUUGAACCGCAUGAUUUGAUUAUCAAAGAUUUAUCGCUGAAAGAUGAGCUCGCGUCUGAUUAGCUAGUUGGUAAGGUAACGGCUUACCAAGGCGACGAUCAGUAGCCGGACUGAGAGGUCGAUCGGCCACAUUGGGACUGAGACACGGCCCAGACUCCUACGGGAGGCAGCAGUGGGGAAUAUUGCACAAUGGAGGAAACUCUGAUGCAGCGAUGCCGCGUGAGGGAAGAAGGUUUUAGGAUUGUAAACCUCUGUCUUCAGGGACGAAAAAAGACGGUACCUGAGGAGGAAGCUCCGGCUAACUACGUGCCAGCAGCCGCGGUAAUACGUAGGGAGCGAGCGUUGUCCGGAAUUACUGGGUGUAAAGGGAGCGUAGGCGGGAUCGCAAGUCAGAUGUGAAAACUAUGGGCUUAACCCAUAAACUGCAUUUGAAACUGUGGUUCUUGAGUGAAGUAGAGGUAAGCGGAAUUCCUAGUGUAGCGGUGAAAUGCGUAGAUAUUAGGAGGAACAUCAGUGGCGAAGGCGGCUUACUGGGCUUUAACUGACGCUGAGGCUCGAAAGCGUGGGGAGCAAACAGGAUUAGAUACCCUGGUAGUCCACGCCGUAAACGAUGAUUACUAGGUGUGGGGGGACUGACCCCUUCCGUGCCGCAGCAAACGCAAUAAGUAAUCCACCUGGGGAGUACGACCGCAAGGUUGAAACUCAAAGGAAUUGACAGGGGCCCGCACAAGCAGUGGAGUAUGUGGAUUAAUUCGAAGCAACGCGAAGAACCUUACCAGGUCUUGACAUCGUAUGCAUAGCUCAGAGAUGAGUGAAAUCUCUUCGGAGACAUAUAGACAGGUGGUGCAUGGUUGUCGUCAGCUCGUGUCGUGAGAUGUUGGGUUAAGUCCCGCAACGAGCGCAACCCUUACUGUUAGUUGCUACGCAAGAGCACUCUAGCAGGACUGCCGUUGACAAAACGGAGGAAGGUGGGGAUGACGUCAAAUCAUCAUGCCCCUUAUGACCUGGGCCUCACACGUACUACAAUGGCUGUCAACAGAGGGAAGCAAAGCCGCGAGGUGGAGCGAACCCCUAAAAGCAGUCUUAGUUCGGAUUGUAGGCUGCAACCCGCCUACAUGAAGUCGGAAUUGCUAGUAAUCGCAGAUCAGCAUGCUGCGGUGAAUACGUUCCCGGGCCUUGCACAC
rnacentral:rRNA from 1 species